GUGGGGAAUAUUGGACAAUGGGCGAAAGCCUGAUCCAGCCAUGUCGCGUGUGUGAAGAAGGUCUUCGGAUUGUAAAGCACUUUAAGUUGGGAGGAAGGGCAGUAAGUUAAUACCUUGCUGUUUUGACGUUACCGACAGAAUAAGCACCGGCUAACUUCGUGCCAGCAGCCGCGGUAAUACGAAGGGUGCAAGCGUUAAUCGGAAUUACUGGGCGUAAAGCGCGCGUAGGUGGUUUUGUAAGUUGGAGGUGAAAUCCCCGGGCUCAACCUGGGAACUGCCUCCAAAACUGCAUGACUAGAGUACGGUAGAGGGUAGUGGAAUUUCCUGUGUAGCGGUGAAAUGCGUAGAUAUAGGAAGGAACACCAGUGGCGAAGGCGACUACCUGGACUGAUACUGACACUGAGGUGCGAAAGCGUGGGGAGCAAACAGGAUUAGAUACCCCAGUAGUCC
rnacentral:rRNA from 1 species